rnacentral:lncRNA from 1 species
UCAUUGGUUUCUGUAGACUGUUCUGGAAUUGAAGAUGCGUUUGGUUGCUCCUCUUCCCUUCGUUCCGUUGAAUGUUGUUCUGGUUCUUUCUGAUUUUCCUCAACUUCAGUAACCACAGGUUCACCUUUUACUGUUUCUGUAGGCUCAACUUCAGUAGCCACAGGUUCUUCUUUUACCGUUUCUGUAGCUUGAACUUCAGUAGCCACAGGUUCUUCUUUUACCAUUUCUCUAGGAUCAACUUCAGUAACCACAGGUUUGACUUUUACUGAUUCUGUCAGAUCAACUUCAGUAACCAGGGGUUCUUUUACUGUUUUUGUAAUUUCAACUUCUGUAGCCACAGCUUCUUCUUUUACUGUCUCUGUAGGAUCAACUUCAGUAACUAUAGGUUCGUCUUUUACCGUUUCUGUUGCCUCGAAUUCAGUAGCUGCAGGUUCAUCUUUUACCAUUUCUGUAGGCUCAACUACAGUUGUCACAGGUUCUUCUUUUACGGUUUCUGUAGCUUCAACUUCAGUAGCCACAGAUUCUUCUUUUACUGUUUCUGUAGCUUCAACUUCAGUAGCCACUGGUUCUUCUUUUACUGUUUCUGUAGCUUCAACUUCAGUAGCCACUGGUUCUUCUUUUACUGUUUCUGUAGCUUCAACUUCAGUAGCUGCAGGUUCGUCUUUUACCGUUUCUGUAGCCUCAACUUCAGUUGCCACAGGUUCUUCUUUUACCGUUUCUGUAGGCUCAACUUCAGUAGCCACGGGUUCUUCUUUUACUGUUUCUGUAGCUUCAGCUUCAGUAGCUAGAGGUUCUUCUUUUACCGUUUCUGUAGGAUCAACUUCAGUAACCACAGGUUCGUCUUUUACGGUUUCUGUAACCUUAACUUCAGUAGCUGCAGGUUCUUCUUUUACUGUUUCCGUAGCCUCAACUUCAGUAGCCACAAGUUCUUCUUUUAGUGUUUCUGUAGCCUCAACUUCAGUAACCACGGGUUCUUCUUUUACUAUCUCUGCAGUCGCAACUUCGGUAACCAUGGGUUCUUCUUUCACUGUUUCUGUAGGCUCCACUUCGAUGAUUUUGGUCUCUUCCGAUAUCGCUGCUGCUGUCUUCUCCUCAUUGGCCUCGACUGUAGAUUCAACAAUUGCAAUUGCUUUUGGUUG